CCUACGGGAGGCAGCAGUGGGGAAUCUUGCACAAUGGGCGGAAGCCUGAUGCAGCGACGCCGCGUGGGGGACGAAGGCCCUCGGGUUGUAAACCCCUUUCGGCAGGGAAGAAGCGAAAGUGACGGUACCUGCAGAAGAAGCUCCGGCUAACUACGUGCCAGCAGCCGCGGUAAUA
rnacentral:rRNA from 1 species